UGGGCUUGGGUGUCAUUUAUGCCAGCACCUAUGGUGCGGAACGUUAGAUCAUUUGUGAGGAAAUCAUGUCAGUUCUCUCUUUGGGUCUUUCUCUUCUCUUUGUUGAUGAUUUUAUUUGUAUCUUGUCUGCUAAUGAUAAGAAAGGGUGACAGCACUAGAUCGGGAUAUCUGAGAAUGUAGAGCCUUUUUCUGACAAAGCGAUCUUGUUGAC
rnacentral:lncRNA from 1 species